UUCCUCUACCCCUUCGGCCCUGAACCUCUGUCCCAUAGUCACAUCUUCGAACCGGAGCGUCAGUCGGCCUUCUUUGCACAUGUCAAAAUCACCGGAACCGAUUUUCUCUCAUCUUUCCUUCAAUUUCGGCUACUCCUACUUUACCUCGGAUAUCCUCAUUUCAAUCUUAUCCUUUCUCGUGUGCCCACACAUCCCACGAAGCAUCCUCAUCUCCGCUACACCCAUUUUGUGUACGUGUUGAUGUUUCACCGCCCAACAUUCUGUGCCAUACAACAUCGCUGGCCUUAUUGCCGUCCUAUAAAAUUUUCCCUUGAGCUUCAGUGGCCUACGACGGUCACACAACACGCCGGAUGCACUCUUACACUUCAUCCAUCCAGCUCGUAUUCUAUGGUUGAGAUCUCCAUCUAAUUCUCCGUUCUCUUGCAAGAUAGAUCCUAGGUAGCGAAAACGGUCGCUUUUUGUGAUCUUCGCUAGAUUGCUCCGGUCAUUAGUGUGUGGAUAAG
rnacentral:lncRNA from 1 species